CCUACGGGAGGCAGCAGUGAGGAAUAUUGGUCAAUGGACGGAAGUCUGAACCAGCCACGCCGCGUGCAGGAAGACGGCUCUAUGAGUGGUAAACUGCUUUUAUACGAGGGUAAACCUGGAUACGUGUAUUCAGCUGAGAGUACUGUACGAAUAAGGAUCGGCUAACUCCGUGCCAGCAGCCGCGGUAAUACGGAGGAUCCAAGCGUUAUCCGGAUUUAUUGGGUUUAAAGGGUGCGGAGGCGGGUUGGUAAGUGAGAGGUGAAAAGUCCGGGCUUAACCCGGGGCCUGCCUUUGAAACUGUGUGUCUAGAGUGGUGGAGAGGUAAGCGGAAUGCAGGGUGUAGCGGUGAAAUGCUUAGAGA
rnacentral:rRNA from 1 species